rnacentral:rRNA from 1 species
GAUGAACGCUGGCGGCGUGCUUAACACAUGCAAGUCGAACGGAAAGGCCCAAGCUUGCUUGGGUACUCGAGUGGCGAACGGGUGAGUAACACGUGGGUGAUCUGCCCUGCACUUCGGGAUAAGCCUGGGAAACUGGGUCUAAUACCGGAUGGGACCACAUUUUGGAUGGUGUGGUGGAAAGUUUUUCGGUGUGGGAUGAGCUCGCGGCCUAUGAGCUUGUUGGUGGGGUAAUGGCCUACCAAGGCGUCGACGGGUAGCCGGCCUGAGAGGGUGUACGGCCACAUUGGGACUGAGAUACGGACCAGUAGCCUACGGGAGGCAGCAGUGGGGAAUAUGGCACAAUGAGGGCAAGCCUGAUGCAGCGACGCCGGGUGGGGGAUGACGGCCUUCGGGUUGUAAACUCCUUUCGCUAGGGACGAAGCGCAAGUGACGGUACCUGGAGAAGAAGCACCGGCUAACUACGUG